rnacentral:lncRNA from 1 species
AGACGGCUUGCUUGCUCUGUCGCCCAGGCUGGAGUGCAGUAGCAUGAUCUUGGCUCACUGCAAGCUCCGCCUCCUGGAUUCAUGCCAUUCUCUUGUCUCAGCCUCCCCAGUAGCUGGGACUACAGGUGCCUGCCACCACGCCUGGCUAAUUUUUUGUAUUUUUUAGUAGAGACGGGGUUUCACUGUGUUAGCCAGGAUGGUCUCGAUCUCCUGACCUCGUGAUCCUCCUGCCUCGGCCUCCCAAAGUUCUGGGAUUACAGGCAUGAGCCACUGCACCCGGCCCAGUUAUAAUUGUUAAAUCUUUUUUUUUCCUUGUGAAUUCUACACAACUCUUUCUUGCUCUCUGAAUUUCCAUGGUUCAUACUGUAUUUUCAGCUGGUUAUGACCAACUUUUUCUUUAUCUUAAGUAUUGAGACAGAGAUUCGUUGAUUCCCUUUUCAUUAUUAAUUUGUGAAGGAAGUUUUCAGUCUUUAUGUUGAUGGUAAUUUAGUUAUUUUUGGAUUGGCAUAAGAUUGUAAUAUUCAUAACAUCAGGAAAAAUUGCCAAGAAGUAAUAUAUGAGCUCUACCAGAAAAUAAAAUGUGUUAAAAGCUGAAGUAAAAUUAUAGUAAACCAGUGUUACAAUUACGCAAGUUAAGUAACUUAAUUAAUAAAGCCAGUAGGUCCAGGAAUCAUUAUAUUAUCAGUAUUAAUUAAAUAUUGUGAUGACGGAUUGAAUUAGUUUUCUAUUCCCACCUACAGAAUUAAGGCAGCUUACUGAUAUUCAAAGUAGUAUUUAUUUAAAAAAUGAAAAAUUAUCAUUGUAAUUAAAUAUUUUAAUUUAACAUAAAUAUACUAAACAUAUCAAUAUGGUUGCCAGUACAUCAGUUACAUGAAAUCUAUCCGGAAAAAAUAUACUGCAAAAAAGAAAAAAAAACUGUGUACAAAAACAAUAAUCCACAUUCUUUUCAAAUUCCAUUCUAUUUCCAUCUUCACUUCAGAGUCACUAACUUCUCUUACUUGGAUCCUACUGCAGUAUGACUUCUACUUAUUAAUUCCACCAAACCAGCUCUCUCACUAAGAUUGCCAAGGCUAUCUAUUUCCCAAUUACUGGGCAGUUUUAAUCCGUAUCUUGGGAAAAUCUACUGAUUCAUCUUCCCCGCACAUUUAUCUUCUUAAAUACACUUUUAUCACAGUAUCAGUCCAUUGUUGCAGUGCUACAAAGAAAUAGCUGAGACUGGGUAAAUUAUAAGAAAAGAGGUUUAAUUGCCUCACAAUUCUGCAGGCUAUACAGGAAGCAUGGCAGCAUCUGCUUCUGGGGAGGCUUCAGAGAGGAAGGUAAAGCGAGAGCAAGAGGAAGGGUAGGGGUAGGUGCCACACACUUUUAAACAACUAGAUCUCAGGAGGGCUCACUAUCACCAUGACAGCACCAAAGGGGAUGGUGUUAAACCAUGAGAAAUAGCCAUGACCCAGUCACCCCGCACCAGGCCCUACCUCCAACACUGGGGAUUGCAAUUCCACAUGAGAUUUGGGCAGGGACACAGAUCCAAACCAUAUUAAUCACCAAUCUCUCUUGUUGUUAGUCUAAUAUAAGGGACACCACCUCUGGUUCCUCUGUGUCUCUUCUCUUCCCUCACUUUAAAGGUGGAAGGUCCUCAAAAUCCUGCUUAAGUCCUUUUCUCUGUCUACACUCUCUCCACACAUGAGCACUUCCAUUUCUGGGAUUUUGCUUGCCAUGUAUGAACCCCCAGCAACUGCAUUCCUUGUAAGUUGCAAACUCAUAUAUCCAACUGGCAAUAGACAUUUUCUACUAGAUGUUUACCAGUCAACUUUUGAGGAUAUCUGUUUAUUUUUAUUUCCUCACCUGUCUCAGUUUACCCGCUGCUGAGAGAAAUCAUUAGUUGCUCCUUCUUCUCAUAGUAUUUAGGAUAACUGAUAUUAAGUAUGAUUACCAUCUUUAGUUUUAUUCCAUACAAAAACCAAAUAUGCAAGAGAGUAGGAAGUAGAUUUAUUGUAUUCAGCUUUAUAUCUUGAGUACAACAUACAACCUGGUUUAGAGAAAGGUCAUUUUUACUUACAUCUUACAUAUAAUAAUGAUAAGCAAAUAAAAUAUACCCUUUAUUCUCUAAUCAGGUUGCACAGUCAGGCUAGGAAUUUCAUAUUAAAGAAUGAACACAUACAGGAAGUUCCUAUAGUAAAAGUUUAAUGAACAACACAAAAUAAUGGAUUGAGUAAAUAUAAGGAACAUGUUUUAUUACACUAACCACAGUGUAAAGGUGCACAUGACGUUAUAUGAACAAAAAUAAUUUAAAUCUUAUGAAUAGUUAAAUAAAUAUUUAAAUAGAUAAAUCAGUUUAUCAGCAUGGUCAUAGUUAUAGCAGGGGUGAGAGUCUUUGAAAUGACAGAAUUCAUGAAAGCGUGACCUGGUGUAUGAGUCAAUAAGAAUUGUUUUCAUGUUGGACCAGAUGUUAUUCCUUCCUCCUUAAUCUUUCUUGCAAGUUUGUUGAUAAAGAGAGGGAUCUCAUGAUUUCUGCUCUGACAACCUCCCAGGCACAAGGGCUGUAUUUCUUCUCUGUCAGAUAGAGAGUGAUUCUUCGGAAGUAUUUCUUCACAGCCAAGAUGGAGUCCGCAUUCAUCAGGGGAGUUUCUCCCACCCUCUCCUCCUGCAUCACACAGGCUUCCAAGUCAUUCAGCUGCUGGUAGAGUUCGGUGCAGAAUUUGUCUAGGAGGUCCUCAUCCCAAGCAGCAGAUGAAUCUUUUGUGGUAAAGAGGUUGAAGAUCUGCUGGAUCAGCUCAUGGAGGACAGAGAUGGCUGGAGCCUUCUGGAACUGGUUGCCAUCAAACUCCUCCUGGGGAAAUCCAAAGUCAUGUCUGUCCAUCAGACAGGAGGAAGGAGAGAUUCUGCUCAUUUGUGCCAGGAGCAUCAAGGUCCUCCUGUUAUCCAGGCUGUGGGUCUCAGGGAGAUCACAGCCCAGAGAGCAGCUUGACUUGCAGCUGAGCACCACCAGGACCAUCAGUAAAGCAAAGGGCGAGGCCAUCGUAGAUAUUGCAGAUACUUCUGGGCUUGCUGAGAUGGGUGACUCUGAACCUUGGGCUCUAGGUUCUCUGAAGGCCUUGCUUCCUGCAAAUGCCUUAAAUAGGGAACAUACUGAUUUCCACUUUCUUAAUGCUUCUGGGCCACUUUCCAUUUCUGUUUUUGCUUUCCUUCAUGCACUCUUUACAUGAGUUUAGAGCCGUGUUUCUCAAAUGUUUUGUUUUUCAUUAUUGUCUUCCCCAUCUUGUUCCCAGAGACUUUUUAGAUAUCUUUUUCCUAAUUGAACCCACCGUGAAAAUUUAAUAACACAGAUACAAUAUGUAUCUAUUUAUAUACUAUAUGUAUAUCUCUAUAAUCAAAAAGUACAAAGUUUAAUCUUUGUAUUCAAUGCAGGUUUAAAAAUAACCAAAUGAAAAAUUUAAGCUAAAAGUUAAAUUUAAAAUCUAUUCAAAUUUUUCUUAACUUUAUAACUAAAUUUGCUUAUGGACUUCAACGUAAUUUAUUUACUGAUAUAAAUUGUACUGUAGGCCUGGCGAGGUGGCUCACGCCUGUAAUCCCAGCACUUUGGGAGUCCGAGGUGGGUGGAUCACGAGGUCAGGAGUUCAAGACCAGCCUGGCCAAGACGGUGAAACCCCAUCUCAACGAAAAAAACAAAAAAAAAACAAAAAAAAAAUUAGCUAGGCAUGGUUGUGUGCACCUGUAAUCCCAGCUACUCAGGAGGCCGAGGCAGGGAAUUCCUUGAACUCAUGAGGUGGAGGUUGCAGUGAGCCGAGAUUGUGCCACUGCACUCCAGCCUGGGUGUCAGAGUGAGACUCUGUUUCAAAAAACAAACAAACAAAUAAAUUGUAGUGUAUCAAAUUACAUAAGCAAAUUAACAAAUUAUAAACAUUUUCUAAUGUUUAUAGAUAAACAUUUUCUAAGUAAUGAAUACUUAAAAAUUAUUUGAAAGUGAUAAACACUUAAAACUUUAAAAUAUUUUUAUCAUUUAUUUUUAGUGUUCUUACGUUUUUUUAGAUCUGAUUACUCCUGAAUUUCACCAAACAUUUAAACAGAACCAAAUCUUUGAAAAAAUUAAGGAGGAAUACUCCCAAACUCAUUUUAUGAAGCCAGCAUUACCUUGAUACCUAAGCCAGAGAUGGACAUUACAAGAAAAAAAAAAAUUACAGCCAAUAUUCCUGAUGAACACAGAUGCAAAAUCAUCCACAAAGUAGUUGCAAAUGAAAUUCAAAAGCACUAUAAAAGGAUCAUUUAUUAUGAUCAAGCUUGAUUUAUUCCUGGGAUGCAAGAAUAUUUUAAUAUGUUGGAAUCAAUAAAUGCCAUACUCCUUAUUUACACAAUAAAAGAUUAAAAAUCAUAACUAUUUUUAUGCAUGCCUAAAAUUAUUUUGACAAAAUUUAAAAUCCAUCUCUAAUACAAUUUAUAACAAAUUAGGUAUAUAAAGAAUAUACCUCAGAAUAAAGAGACACAUUCCUUAUUAGCUAUAAGAUAAGCCAUUAGCUAACACUAUAGUCAGUGGUGAAAUGUUGGAAUCUUUUUUCUGAGAUUUAUUAUAAGAUAAGGAUGCCCACUCUCACUACUUCUUUCAACACAGUACUGGAAAUCCUACUCAGAAUAUUAGACAAGAAAAAAAAGGGGCAUUUAAAUGAGAAAGAACAAGGUCUUAUUUUCAUGGAGAUUAAUGCUCAGAGUUUUACAGAUUAGAUUUAACAUCAUGAAAGCUGGUACAAUCCAGGAAUCAGAGGAACUGUCCCUGAGGACACAGGACUUCAGGGACAUCAAUUAUUAAGAGGCUACAUGAAAGCAGAAAUGCUCCUGGAUGUUUCCAUUGUCUACACAUAAAGUUUCAACAGAUCAGCCCCAGCAAGUAUAGGCACAUUCCUCACUACUGUGGGUGAUGAGCUUUUCACUCAAAGCAGAGAUGUGAAACCUGACAGGUUUCAAAGACCACCUAAGUGCUCCAUACCUUGACAGUCACUCCCACAAAGCUGAAACACCAUCUGUUCCUGAGGGAUCAGGUCAUCAUCUGUGACUUUGAGACACUGGCCAGUCAGGCUUCAGUUGACAUGAGGCCAGUGAUUUUAAGUGUAAAAUGCCCAAACCAUCAUACUCAUUAGGUAGAUAUUUGGAGGCCUGUGCACUUAAAUGGGUUAGUGAAAUGUCACACCAGACAUAUGACUGGGAAUAGGGGUUUCCUCCUCUGCUCUUAGCAGCACCUUGGUAAUCCAAUAAUUACCCUCCCUCAUGCCUCCACAUCCACAUCUGCGAAAAAGGCACUGGUGAGUAGGACAUUUUCAUGAAGCCAUAACCCAUGGUUACUCCCUGCAAAGCUCUGAACUUGUGCAUCCCCAGGCCAGGGGGUGGGUGUCUUUCAAAGGUGGCUGAACUUGCGCUCUGCUUGGAGAGAGUGGAAGGCAGCAGCACAGUGGCAGCAUCUGGGACCUCAGGCCAUUUCCCACAGCCAGUUAGGAAAGCAGGUGGCUCCAGGGGCUGGAGGAGGUAUGAUGCUCUUGGAAGACCCCAGGUGCUUGUAUUUGUGACACGCUGACUCCCUU